rnacentral:rRNA from 1 species
GGUUAAGCGACUAAGCGUACACGGUGGAUGCCCUGGCAGUCAGAGGCGAUGAAGGACGUGCUAAUCUGCGAUAAGCGUCGGUAAGGUGAUAUGAACCGUUAUAACCGGCGAUUUCCGAAUGGGGAAACCCAGUGUGAUUCGUCACACUAUCAUUAACUGAAUCCAUAGGUUAAUGAGGCGAACCGGGGGAACUGAAACAUCUAAGUACCCCGAGGAAAAGAAAUCAACCGAGAUUCCCCCAGUAGCGGCGAGCGAACGGGGAGCAGCCCAGAGCCUGAAUCAGUGUGUGUGUUAGUGGAAGCGUCUGGAAAGGCGUGCGAUACAGGGUGACAGCCCCGUACACAAAAAUGCACAUGCUGUGAGCUCGAUGAGUAGGGCGGGACACGUGGUAUCCUGUCUGAAUAUGGGGGGACCAUCCUCCAAGGCUAAAUACUCCUGACUGACCGAUAGUGAACCAGUACCGUGAGGGAAAGGCGAAAAGAACCCCGGCGAGGGGAGUGAAAAAGAACCUGAAACCGUGUACGUACAAGCAGUGGGAGCACGCUUAGGCGUGUGACUGCGUACCUUUUGUAUAAUGGGUCAGCGACUUAUAUUCUGUAGCAAGGUUAACCGAAUAGGGGAGCCGAAGGGAAACCGAGUCUUAACUGGGCGUUAAGUUGCAGGGUAUAGACCCGAAACCCGGUGAUCUAGCCAUGGGCAGGUUGAAGGUUGGGUAACACUAACUGGAGGACCGAACCGACUAAUGUUGAAAAAUUAGCGGAUGACUUGUGGCUGGGGGUGAAAGGCCAAUCAAACCGGGAGAUAGCUGGUUCUCCCCGAAAGCUAUUUAGGUAGCGCCUCGUGAAUUCAUCUCCGGGGGUAGAGCACUGUUUCGGCAAGGGGGUCAUCCCGACUUACCAACCCGAUGCAAACUGCGAAUACCGGAGAAUGUUAUCACGGGAGACACACGGCGGGUGCUAACGUCCGUCGUGAAGAGGGAAACAACCCAGACCGCCAGCUAAGGUCCCAAAGUCAUGGUUAAGUGGGAAACGAUGUGGGAAGGCCCAGACAGCCAGGAUGUUGGCUUAGAAGCAGCCAUCAUUUAAAGAAAGCGUAAUAGCUCACUGGUCGAGUCGGCCUGCGCGGAAGAUGUAACGGGGCUAAACCAUGCACCGAAGCUGCGGCAGCGACGCUUAUGCGUUGUUGGGUAGGGGAGCGUUCUGUAAGCCUGCGAAGGUGUGCUGUGAGGCAUGCUGGAGGUAUCAGAAGUGCGAAUGCUGACAUAAGUAACGAUAAAGCGGGUGAAAAGCCCGCUCGCCGGAAGACCAAGGGUUCCUGUCCAACGUUAAUCGGGGCAGGGUGAGUCGACCCCUAAGGCGAGGCCGAAAGGCGUAGUCGAUGGGAAACAGGUUAAUAUUCCUGUACUUGGUGUUACUGCGAAGGGGGGACGGAGAAGGCUAUGUUGGCCGGGCGACGGUUGUCCCGGUUUAAGCGUGUAGGCUGGUUUUCCAGGCAAAUCCGGAAAAUCAAGGCUGAGGCGUGAUGACGAGGCACUACGGUGCUGAAGCAACAAAUGCCCUGCUUCCAGGAAAAGCCUCUAAGCAUCAGGUAACAUCAAAUCGUACCCCAAACCGACACAGGUGGUCAGGUAGAGAAUACCAAGGCGCUUGAGAGAACUCGGGUGAAGGAACUAGGCAAAAUGGUGCCGUAACUUCGGGAGAAGGCACGCUGAUAUGUAGGUGAAGUCCCUCGCGGAUGGAGCUGAAAUCAGUCGAAGAUACCAGCUGGCUGCAACUGUUUAUUAAAAACACAGCACUGUGCAAACACGAAAGUGGACGUAUACGGUGUGACGCCUGCCCGGUGCCGGAAGGUUAAUUGAUGGGGUUAGCGCAAGCGAAGCUCUUGAUCGAAGCCCCGGUAAACGGCGGCCGUAACUAUAACGGUCCUAAGGUAGCGAAAUUCCUUGUCGGGUAAGUUCCGACCUGCACGAAUGGCGUAAUGAUGGCCAGGCUGUCUCCACCCGAGACUCAGUGAAAUUGAACUCGCUGUGAAGAUGCAGUGUACCCGCGGCAAGACGGAAAGACCCCGUGAACCUUUACUAUAGCUUGACACUGAACAUUGAGCCUUGAUGUGUAGGAUAGGUGGGAGGCUUUGAAGUGUGGACGCCAGUCUGCAUGGAGCCGACCUUGAAAUACCACCCUUUAAUGUUUGAUGUUCUAACGUUGACCCGUAAUCCGGGUUGCGGACAGUGUCUGGUGGGUAGUUUGACUGGGGCGGUCUCCUCCUAAAGAGUAACGGAGGAGCACGAAGGUUGGCUAAUCCUGGUCGGACAUCAGGAGGUUAGUGCAAUGGCAUAAGCCAGCUUGACUGCGAGCGUGACGGCGCGAGCAGGUGCGAAAGCAGGUCAUAGUGAUCCGGUGGUUCUGAAUGGAAGGGCCAUCGCUCAACGGAUAAAAGGUACUCCGGGGAUAACAGGCUGAUACCGCCCAAGAGUUCAUAUCGACGGCGGUGUUUGGCACCUCGAUGUCGGCUCAUCACAUCCUGGGGCUGAAGUAGGUCCCAAGGGUAUGGCUGUUCGCCAUUUAAAGUGGUACGCGAGCUGGGUUUAGAACGUCGUGAGACAGUUCGGUCCCUAUCUGCCGUGGGCGCUGGAGAACUGAGGGGGGCUGCUCCUAGUACGAGAGGACCGGAGUGGACGCAUCACUGGUGUUCGGGUUGUCAUGCCAAUGGCACUGCCCGGUAGCUAAAUGCGGAAGAGAUAAGUGCUGAAAGCAUCUAAGCACGAAACUUGCCCCGAGAUGAGUUCUCCCUGACUCCUUGAGAGUCCUGAAGGAACGUUGAAGACGACGACGUUGAUAGGCCGGGUGUGUAAGCGCAGCGAUGCGUUGAGCUAACCGGUACUAAUGAACCGUGAGGCUUAACCUUAC